rnacentral:rRNA from 1 species
CUGGCUCAGGAUGAACGCUAGCGACAGGCCUAACACAUGCAAGUCGAGCGGCAGCACCUCGGGUGGCGAGCGGCGCACGGGUGAGUAACGCGUAUGUAACCUGCCCAUGAGUGGGGGAAUAGCCCGGUGAAAACCGGAUUAAUGCCCCAUGACACCGGAAUUUGACAUCUUAUACCGGUUAAAGAUUCAUUGCUCAUGGAUGGACAUGCGUUGGAUUAGCUAGUCGGCGGGGCAACGGCCCACCGAGGCUACGAUCCAUAGGGGUUCUGAGAGGAAGGUCCCCCACAUUGGUACUGAGACACGGACCAAACUCCUACGGGAGGCAGCAGUGAGGAAUAUUGGUCAAUGGGCGGAAGCCUGAACCAGCCAAGUCGCGUGAAGGAUGAAGGUAUUUAAUGUAUUGUAAACUUCUUUAGCUGUGGAGAAAUAAGGUGCAUGUAUGCACCGAUGCUAGUACACAGAGAAUAAGGGUCGGCUAACUCCGUGCCAGCCGCUGC